rnacentral:rRNA from 1 species
CACCAACCAGCGCCAGGGAAUUACGAGCCUUGCUUAAAACCCAAAGGACUUGACGGUUUCCCACCCCCCUAGAGGAGCCUGUUCUUUAAUCGAUGACCCCCGCUAUACCUAACCACCCCUCGCUAUCAGUCUGUAUACCUCCGUCGAAAGCUUACCAUAUGAAUGCUUCAGUAAGCCUAAUGAUUACCGUCAACACGUCAGGUCAAGGUGCAGCUUAAGGAGUGGGAAGUGAUGGGCUACAAUUUCUAAACUAGAACAAACGAAAGACCAGAUGAAAUCCUGGUCAUGAAGGCGGAUUUAGUAGUAAAAAGAAAAUAGAGUGUUCUUUUUAACAUGGCUCUGGGACGCGUACACACCGCCCGUC